UGCAGACGAUGCCAAGAGAUAUUUGCUAUCUGAGCUGCCUUGAUGACUCUCGGCCACCAAGAUCUCUGAUGCG